rnacentral:lncRNA from 10 species
CGGCUGGGGGCUUUAUUAGGGGGCACCGGGGUCUGCUUUCCGACUCCCUUCCGACUCCGCGCCUGCGCAGGAAGCGAUUUGGGGAGUGUUGUGAAUUCCGAGGGCUCCACACUUAAGAGGUUGUACACUCACCUGUCUACCUGGACUCCAAUUUCCAUAUUUCCAGCCACUUGAGGACUGAGAGGUGGAUGAUAAACCCUGUCAUAGUGGAGCAAGUUCAGGUGUUUAACCGCUGUUAUGGGGGAUCUGCCUUUUCUCCCUCUUCUUUCUUACUUCCAUAAGUAUGUAUGUGCAGAGAUUGAAAAAUAACCUUGAGAGAGUCCAUCCAUCUAACUCCAGGUAAGACUGCAAAUAUUUCUUUCUUAUAAAUCUGGGAGGAAUGCAGUCAGUGUUUCAUGCCAACCAAAAAAGACUGCAAACGUUUUUCCAUCCUUCUGCCUUGAAUACCUUUCUACUUAGAUGACUAUUUUGUAAGACGUGAGUGCAAAUGUUAUAUACAAUACCAACUCCAUACUAGAUGUUUAAUUAAUUCUAGGGAUUCAGUAAUAAGGAAUGACUCGAACAGAUUUCUGCCUACAGACAGCUAAUGCUUCUUGUAUUUUUGCAUUACCUGAAAUGAAAGUAGCAAUGUUAGAUUUUACAGUAGUGGGAGGUUGUAAACAAUAGUAUGUUAAACAUUUUUGAUCAUUUAUAAUAAAAUGUUCAGCACUAAACAUA